UACGUAGGGGGCUAGCGUUGUCCGGAAUCAUUGGGCGUAAAGAGCGUGUAGGCGGUCCGGUAAGUCCGCUGUGAAAGUCGGGGGCUCAACCCUCGAAUGCCGGUGGAUACUGUCGGGCUAGAGUGCGGAAGAGGCGAGUGGAAUUCCUGGUGUAGCGGUGAAAUGCGUAGAUAUCACUUGGAACGCCAAUGGUGAAGACAGCUCGCUGGGGGUGUCCUGACGCUGAGGCGCGAAAGCCAGGGGAGCGAACGGG
rnacentral:rRNA from 1 species